UACGGGGGGUGCAAGCGUUACUCGGAAUCACUGGGCGUAAAGAGCAUGUAGGCGGAUUAAUAAGUUGGAAGUGAAAUCCUAUAGCUUAACUAUAGAACUGCUUCCAAAACUGUUGAUCUAGAAUAUGGGAGAGGUAGAUGGAAUUUCUGGUGUAGGGGUAAAAUCCGUAGAGAUCAGAAGGAAUACCGAUUGCGAAGGCGAUCUACUGGAACAUUAUUGACGCUCAGAUGCGAAAGCGUGGGGAGCAAACAGGAUUAGAUACCCUGGUAGUCCACGCCCUAAACGAUGUACACUAGUUGUUGCUAUACUAGAUAUGGCAGUAAUGCAGUUAACACUUUAAGUGUACCGCCUGGGGAGUACGGUCGCAAAAUUAAAACUCAAAGGAAUAGACGGGGACCCGCACAAGCGGUGGAGCAUGUGGUUUAAUUCGACGAUACGCGAAAAACCUUACCUGGCCUUGACAUAGUAAGAACUUUCUAGAGAUAGAUUGGUGCUAGCUUGCUAGAGCUUACAUACAGGUGCUGCACGGCUGUCGUCAGCUCGUGUCGUGAGAUGUUGGGUUAAGUCCCGCAACGAGCGCAACCCACGUGAUUAGUUGCUAACAGUUUGGCUGAGAACUCUAAUCAGACUGCCUUCGUAAGGAGGAGGAAGGUGUGGACGACGUCAAGUCAUCAUGGCCCUUACGGCCAGGGCUACACACGUGCUACAAUGGGAUAUACAAAGAGCAGCAAUACCGCGAGGUGGAGCAAAUCUAGAAAAUAUCUCCCAGUUCGGAUUGUUCUCUGCAACUCGAGAACAUGAAGUUGGAAUCGCUAGUAAUCGUAGAUCAGCAUUGCUACGGUGAAUACGUUCCCGGGUCU
rnacentral:rRNA from 1 species